AGACUUUCCCUGGGACAGCACAGCGGCGCUUUUCAGUUGAAGAUACACGAGAGGAGAGAAUGAAAAAAGACCAGCAAGGAUAAAUUAAGGAGGAUGUAACAAAAUACACUGCAAGAACUGGAAUGAGAGACAAGUGAGGAUGAAGAGGACAACAGAAUAUCCAUCCUUUCUUCACCACCUCACAGAGUUUGAGUGAAACAACUUGUAUUAGGACUCACAGGAUUAUUUUAUAACAAGACUGAUUAUCUUAUACCAGAAGUUUGGUAUUUUUUUGAAGCUACUGUAUUAUUUCUUAUGACAAUUCAUUUUGAUGUGCAUUCAGAACUGUAAGUUGGUAAGUACAUUUACUGUAUUUACUGUAAGUAAAGGCUAAAGAGUAUAUCUCCUCUAGUUCUAAUUUCUAAUUCUAAGUUCUAACAACGUUCCCAAAGGUCCCAAUAAUGUUAAGCCAACAUAAAAGUGUCCAGUUUUUAAAUUGUUUAGGAAUGUUUCUUGAUUGUGCGAAUGUUAGAGGAAUGUUACAUUUUAUUUUCAGACAAUGUCAUGUUUAAAUGUACUCACAAUGUUUAAAACACAUGUUUAGUAUAUUUUAUGAAUGUUUAUAUGCAAUAUUUUAACAUAUCAUUAAGAAAUAAUGUUUUACAACAGUUUGUAAAUAAUAGAAUGUAAUGUUUUUUUAUCAUUACAAGCAAAAACAUUCAUAACGUUAUUGGGAACUUUCAAGGAACGUUCUUAGAACCUUUCUCUGUGGUUGAGCAUUGUGUUAGCAUCAUAAAACGCCAUGGGUUCAAACAAGGGAAUGCACAUGCUGAUAAAAAAUUUAUACUUUGCAUUGCACUGUAUGUUAUUUGCCUUUUUCUGUAAAUGUGAAGAUAAAUGUAAAGACAGACAGUCAUUGUUUCAUUUUAAACCAGUUCUAUUUUAAGAGAACUUAACUAGACUAAAUAAAAGGGUCACAGAAAUUUUAAUUUUGCUAUUAUGAUGCUGAUUUUGUGGUGUUAUGGGUUUUCUGGUUACAGUGGUAGUGGAUCAUGAUCACCUCUCUAGCUUCAAAAGUAGGAUGCAAAAUGUAUAACACCAAAUCAUUAUAGCAUAACUCCAUGUAACUUGACAUAAUUUAAAGUCGUCUAAAGGCAGACAUGAUUGCGUGUGAACCGAAGUCCUAUGCCAAAGACUCCAAAUACUGCAUCUACACAUGCUUCCUGAUGUGUAUAUUUUGUUAGUAUAUCCUGGUUGUUGCAGCCCUGACAGUAAACUUGACUG